rnacentral:rRNA from 1 species
GACGAACGCUGGCGGCGUGCUUAACACAUGCAAGUCGUACGACAGCAUUUCCUUUUAGGUUGUGUUUGGAGUGGCGAACGGGUGAGUAACACGUGAGUGACCUGCCCUUCACUUUGGGAUAACGUGCGGAAACGUGCGCUAAUACCAAAUAUUCGCAUUUCUGCUGCAUGGUGGGUGUGGAAAGGGCCGUCGGUUCGUGGUGGGGAGUGGGC